UACAGAGGUCCCGAGCGUUGUUCGGAUUCACUGGGCGUAAAGGGUGCGUAGGUGGCGAGGUAAGUCGGAUGUGAAAGCUCGGAGCUCAACUCCGAAAUGGCAUUGGAAACUACCUUGCUCGAGGGUUGGAGGGGGGACUGGAAUACUUGGUGUAGCAGUGAAAUGCGCAGAUAUCAGGAGGAACACCGGUGGCGAAGGCGGAUCUCUGGGCCUUACCUGACGCUCAGGUGCGAAAGCUAGGGGAGCGAACAGG
rnacentral:rRNA from 1 species